rnacentral:lncRNA from 1 species
AUUGGUUUUGGUUAAUAAUAACUUCUAAAUAUUUAGAGUCACCUUUGUUAGACAUUGGUGACCUUUGAAAACUUAUUUUGGUUCUUUUAUUUGAUAUUUAGAGCAUAAAUUAUAUAAAUUUUAUAAGAUAAAGAAUUGAAGAAGGAUUUUGGUAGCAAAGGGAGUAAUUAGGGCACCAAUAUAGAUGAAUGAUAAAAAUCUCCAUUCCUAUUGCUCAAAAAUCAUGACCAAUAGGCUUUAGGAGGCUGCCCUAGGCCAUAUUAGACAUUAUGAUUAGUUUUUCGCAGCCAUUCGAGCUUUGAAGGCUAAGGUCAGCAAGUUUAGGAUUUUGGCUAUGAUUUUGGUACAAAGCUUGUAUAAUUUGGAGUUUAUAUGAAGGAAAUAUAGGCGCUCAAAGUUAAGGUAUUCAUUUGGGAGCUAUUGUCACUAUUUUUGACAUAAUGCAUGCGUAUAGAUGGCAAUUGAGAAUCGGUGAUUGCGACUGGAGAGAACACUUUUCCAGCUAUACUUUUU